UGUGUCCGAUUUCGACAGUUUGGAUUCAUUGUUCAAGGAAACUUUGAACACAAACUAGAAUAAAAUAAACUUUAACUAGGAAGAAUAUUAUUGUGGACAUCUAAAAUGAGGAAGAAUUGAUUUAUGGAUAUCUGAAAAACACAUUCAUCCAUCCAUUGUCUAUAUCGGGUUAUUCUUGCAGAGGAUAAUGCCCAGUGGCCACUGGAAAUGGGCCACGGCCUUGCAAGGACAAGCAGGUAUAGACAAUGGAUGGAUAGAAAAACAUUCUGUCUUAUUAAGAAAUGUUAACCUUGAUUUUGAGAUAUCUUGUCCUUACUAGUACUACUAGAAUAGCGAUCCAGUUGUGGAUAUGUUUAAAUUUGAGUAGUAAAUCAUAAUAUUGCAAUCUAAAAUGUUAUGUUAGGUGGAGUUUUGCAUUAAAUGUUUAAAUGGCUUGCCUUAUACAUGGGCGUCAGUUUAUCAGGAGAGAAUAUAUCUUCCUCUUCACCCUAAAUGAGAUGUGUAAACAGAUAUUUUCACCUUUGAACUCACGUGUUGUUAGGCAUAAGGUGUAGCAAAACGGUAUGAACCUGUCAGGUGAUCACCAUGACAACAGACUGGAUCGAUAUCCACGCUCUCUGCCCUCAGAGGAUGCACUGCUGAAUGUCUAGCUGUCUUUUCGCUGUAUUUGUGUCCUCCAACAGGCAGAGCAAGUAAGACAGAAGCAUGCUACUUUGACAAAGUGGGACACCAGACAUCAUUCUGCUCAGUUACAGAAAAUAAGGCACAUAUUCCUUUUGUUUAUUUGAUGGAAAACCCAGUGAGAUGGGCUGUGUACACUGAAAGUCAGCUGAUUAAUUUAGCAGGAUGAGCUUCCUAAGGAGCGGAAGUAGGGUAACGGAACCAGCUCAGUUGGACAAAAAGGUAAAACCGGAAUGACUUUGGCAACACAGAAAAAGGAUGACGAAAAGAGUUAAAAGGCAACCUAAGCUUAGCUUCAGUCGAUAGGGGAACAAGGUUUGUAAAUGUGAUAAAGUGUAUUUGAGUAACCUAAAA